CAAAUACUCCCUCCGUCCGGAAAUACUUGUCAUCAAAAUGGAUAAAAGGAAAUGUAUCUAGACGUAUUUUAGUUUUAGAUACAUCUAUUUUUAUCCAUUUUGAUGACAAGUAUUUUUGGACGGAGGAAGUAGAAA
rnacentral:pre_miRNA from 1 species